rnacentral:rRNA from 1 species
AUUGAACGCUGGCGGCAGGCCUAACACAUGCAAGUCGAGCGGAAGAAGGGAGCUUGCUCCUGGAUUCAGCGGCGGACGGGUGUGUAAUGCCUAGGAAUCUGCCUGCUAGUGGGGGAUAACGUCCGGAGACGGGCGCUAAUACCGCAUACGCCCUGAGGGAGAAAGUGGGGGAGCUUCGGACCUCACGCUAUCAGAUGAGCCUAGGUCGGAUUAGCUAGUUGGUGGGGUAAAGGCCUACCAAGGCGACGAUCCGUAACUGGUCUGAGAGGAUGAUCAGUCACACUGGAACUGAGACACGGUCCAGACUCCUACGGGAGGCAGCAGUGGGGAAUAUUGGACAAUGGGCGAAAGCCUGAUCCAGCCAUGCCGCGUGUGUGAAGAAGGUCUUCGGAUUGUAAAGCACUUUUAGUUGGGAGGAAGGGCAGUAAGUUAAUACCUUGCUGUUUUGACGGUACCAACAGAAUAAGCACCGGCUAACUACGUG